rnacentral:misc_RNA from 1 species
GAUGAAGAACGUAGCGAAAUGCGAUAAGUAAUGUGAAUUGCAGAAUUCAGUGAAUCAUCGAAUCUUUGAACGCACAUUGCGCCCGCCAGCAUUCUGGCGGGCAUGCCUGUUCGAGCGUCAUUUCAACCCUCGAGCCCCCCCGGGGGCCUCGGUGUUGGGGGACGGCACACCAGCCGCCCCUGAAAUGCAGUGGCGACCCCGCCGCAGCCUCCCCUGCGUAGUAGCACACACCUCGCACCGGAGCGCGGAGGCGGUCACGCCGUAAAACGCCCAACUUUCUUAGAGUUGACCUCGGAUCAGGUAGGAAUACCCGCUGAACUUAAGCAUAUCAAUAAGCGGAAGA